CAUCCAUCCACCAUCUGGCACGUGGUUCCCUUGGAGCACUGGAUGUCACUGCAGGUGGGCUGGUCAUGGACACAUUGGGGAUGUCCAUCCAUCAUCUUACACGUAGUUCCCUUGGGACAAUGGAGGUCACUGCAGGAAGGUCUCCUUGGGGCCACCUUGAGUUGGAUGCAGCGUGGCCAACCAUCCACCAUCUGGCACGUGGUUCCUUUCUGGCACUGGAUGUCACUGCAGGUAGGUUGAUUUUGGACACAUUGGGGAUGUCCAUCUAUCAUCUUACAAGUAGUUCCCUUGGGACAAUGGAGGUCACUGCAGGAAGGCUGCCUUGGAGAUACUUUGAGUUGGAUGCAACGUGGCCAACCAUCCACCAUCUGGCACGUG
ensembl:lncRNA